AUCCCAGGAGCUUGCUCCUGGGUGAGAGUGGCGAACGGGUGAGUAAUGCGUGACCGACCUGCCCCAUACACCGGAAUAGCUCCUGGAAACGGGUGGUAAUGCCGGAUGCUCCAGUUGGAUGCAUGUCCUUCUGGGAAAGAUUCAUCGGUAUGGGAUGGGGUCGCGUCCUAUCAGCUUGAUGGCGGGGUAACGGCCCACCAUGGCUUCGACGGGUAGCCGGCCUGAGAGGGCGACCGGCCACAUUGGGACUGAGAUACGGCCCAGACUCCUACGGGAGGCAGCAGUGGGGAAUAUUGCACAAUGGGCGCAAGCCUGAUGCAGCGACGCCGCGUGCGGGAUGACGGCCUUCGGGUUGUAAACCGCUUUUGACUGGGAGCAAGCCCUUCGGGGUGAGUGUACCUUUCGAAUAAGCACCGGCUAACUACGUGCCAGCAGCCGCGGUAAUACGUAGGGUGCAAGCGUUAUCCGGAAUUAUUGGGCGUAAAGGGCUCGUAGGCGGUUCGUCGCGUCCGGUGUGAAAGUCCAUCGCUUAACGGUGGAUCCGCGCCGGGUACGGGCGGGCUUGAGUGCGGUAGGGGAGACUGGAAUUCCCGGUGUAACGGUGGAAUGUGUAGAUAUCGGGAAGAACACCAAUGGCGAAGGCAGGUCUCUGGGCCGUCACUGACGCUGANGAGCGAAAGCGUGGGGAGCGAACAGGAUUAGAUACCCUGGUAGUCCACGCCGUAAACGGUGGAUGCUGGAUGUGGGGACCAUUCCACGGUCUCCGUGUCGGAGCCAACGCGUUAAGCAUCCCGCCUGGGGAGUACNGCCGCAAGGCUAAAACUCAAAGAAAUUGACGGGGGCCNGCACAAGCGGCGGA
rnacentral:rRNA from 1 species